UAAAUACUCCCUCCGUCCGAAAAAGCUUGUCCCUCAAAUGAAUGUAUCUAGCACCAAGUUAGUGCUAGAUAUAUUCAUUUGAGGGACAAGCUUGGGACAAGCUUUUUCGGACGGAGGGAGUACAAC
rnacentral:pre_miRNA from 1 species